AACAAGGGAUCUCUAACCUUCAAACCGUUUGAGGGAGAAUACUCUAUGAUAUGAUUUAGAAUCUCUGGCUAGAGUAUGAAUGAGAUUUAGAAAAGUCGUUCUAAAUCACAUUCAAGGAAAUCAUAUAAGCACACGAAUCACAUUGGAUAGUAUACAUGAAUAAAUAAACUAUCAAACCAAACAAUGUGGUCAGGAGUAUUAGAUUAGAGAAAGAUCGUAUUGCAUUUGUAAUCCCAAACUGAAUAGGUUUUCUCUACCUCUUCUGAUUAGCUUGGGUAACCAUGAUAUGCUGCAAGGUGUCACUCAUGGUUUGUGGAAGCCCUAAACGUGUGUAAUCACUAAAGGGAGAAUUGAAAUUAAGUUUCAAUUCACAAUCGAUGUAAAAUGGUUUUAAUCGCCCACUGCCUCGCUAAAAGGAACCUAAUGGAUCGCACACCGUGUAAGGAGGAGAUUGAAGAAACAAUGGAGAUGAGUAAGAAUGAUUAAAUGGUUUAAUCAUUUAUUUAUGGCAAGGAUUAAUUAAUAUGUUAAUUAAUCAAACGAAUAAGUUCGUUAAAGCCCUCGGGAUAGUUUUGGACCUUAAGGCCCAAUGGGCUUCGAACGUCAAGCCCAUUAACUUAAGUUGUAUGACAACUUAAUGAAUAAUGAUUCACAAAGGCCCAAUUAGUCCAAAAUAUCCUAAUGGCCGGCCAUAUUGUUUAGGGUAGUGAACUUGGACUUAUUUACAAGUUUGCCACUCAAAUGAAUAAAGGUAUAAAUAUGACUUUAUAGCCAAAAUUCAUUAAGGGUUUGUUUUGGAGAAAAUUGGUGAGAACUUGUCUCUCCAUUUCUCUCUAAAGAGGCCGGCCACCUUGGGGGGUGCAUCUUGCAAUCCCACUACUCCAAGGUCACUCAUUUCUUCUCCAAUCUCUCCUUGGUGAAGAGACUUAGAGGUUCUCAAUUUUGGGAACUUGGAAAAACCUAUUCUUCCAUCCAAAUCCAUAGAUUUAAGAUGCAAGGAAUGAAGGCCCUCUCUUUGGGUGAUUAGCCUUUGCUUAUGCAAAGAGGAAUCUACAAAGGUAUAAAUUUCAACUCACUUUGUUUUGAGUUGAGUUUUGGUUCACCAAUCUACUAGGCUUUGAAUUUCUUGGUUAAUGUUUUGUUUUUAAGUGCAUGCUAGCAUGAUUCCGCCUUUAAUUGUUAAUUGCAUGCUUAUUGAUGUUGCUUAAAUGAACAUGUUUUCACAAAAUAUUCCUUCAAGUGGUAUCAGAGCCUAGGUCUAGUAGUUGGUGAAUCCUUUUGGGUUUUGUAGUUCAUAGUUUAUGAUUUAAAAGUUGUAAUUGUUACAAGCUUUAUUCUUGUUUCUUUGAAUGUAAAUUUUGUUAGAAAAUUUGCCAUCUCAAAUGUUGUAGAUGUAGUUCAUAUGAGCAUGAAUAUUGAAGCUAAAAUUUGGUGCCAUGCUUUUGGGAAAAUUCGGCCAAAUCCAAAGGGUGGAUUUUUGGGUUCUUGUUUGACUUGUUAAAAGUGUUUUCAAGUGACUUUUGGAACCCCUAUGUACCCUAGUUUGGUUAGAUGUUAUUUCCCUAAAGUUUGAAUGGUUUUGGAAUGUUUUUGGGUGAAAAAUGUUCAUGGAAAAUUUUGGGUUUUUUCAUGAGUGUUCUUCAUUGUUCUUGACAUUUUUGCCAAGAACAAAAGGGUUUGUGUUUUGAUUCAAAAUUUUGAUUUAUUUCAUAAAGUUUAUGUUUUAUGUUUUUCAAAUGAUUUAUUGCAUAAGAUAUUUAUUUGAAUGGUGAUGGAAAUGGUGAUGGGUGUGUAAGGAUUAAUUCCCUUUCACACACACCACUUGCACCACUUGUUGCUUUAUGUCUAAAACUCACAAAUCAACACACACAUCACUCUAUCCUCUUCCAAAACCGGCCACCCCCUAGUGGGGGUACUUUUGGGGUCUUUUAUGCAAUUACAUAAAGUUUUGAUACUUUUGUGUAUUUGCACUUUGGCCCAAAAGUUUACGUUUUUACGUUUAGGUCCAAAAACGCUAAAGGACAAAUUGUUUUGCUCCUUUAAUGAAGUUUUUGCAUUGAUUAAAUUUUGGGUUCUAGUGUAAUUACAUGAAGUAAUGGACUUUUGUGUCUUUACAAAGUGACCCCAAAAGUUUUGCAAUAUAGCCCAAAAGUUGAGGUUAAUUGCUUUAUGGCCCAAAAGUUGUGGUUAUUGCAUAUUGGCCCAAAUUAAGUAGAGAACAAAAUUGUUUUGUCUCUUUAAAUGAGAAUUGGAUUUUUCAUUUGUUUUAGCUCCAUUUAAAUCAAUUUUAUGGAUACAAAAACCAAAUGAAAAUGUUGCAUUCAAUUUAAUUAGUUAAAGUGUUAAUUAAUUAAAGGGUGAUUAUGAACCUAAGCCUAAUAUAAUUGAGCUAUGUGAAAGGCCGUUUCAAAUUUGUUUGAACCAUGGGAAUGUGUAGAUUAGAUUUUGGUUGUAAAUUUGAUUUGAUCAAAUGUUGUAAAAGGGCAUAAGCUCUUCUUUACUUUAAAGUAAUUUGUUUUAUGCAAAUGUUGUAAUGAGCAUAAGCUCACCUUUACUUUGAAGUACUUCUUUCUUGCUUUAUAUGAUAUGCAUGAAAAUGAAGUAGUUGGGUCCAACGCCCCUAAGACAACACGCCUUAAUGUGAUUAGACGCGUAACUAAAAUCAAUCACCAUUCCUAGACCGAGAUUCAACACAAGGCUCGUGUUGAAUCUAAACAAAGGUUCAUAGUCAUCCUAAGGCCCUAAGGCAACUAUAUAGUCCAUCAAAUGAAUGCAAAGGUUAUGUUAGUAGUAUCAUAUACUCUUGCUUUAAAAACCGUUUUUAUAAGCAUAGUGGGAGUAUUAUAUAUACAACUAAAAACAAUCAUAUGGACCAAUAGUUGUAAUAGGACCAAAAUUGUUUUAAUAGAGAUUAAAAUGUAUGUUUAUAUGUGAUGAGACCUAAAACCCUCAACCAAACCAUUAUUAAGUUGAUAAGCGUGAGAGUGCUUAGAACACUCUUUCGUAGGCCUUCCACCGUGGUGGGAUCCAAUCGUUUAUGACUUGUACACCGGCUUCACCCUAUCAUGGGGGAGUACAAAGUGCAUGCUUAUACUCAGGAGGAAUCCAUAUACAUAUGAUGAGGUGAGUGUAGGCAACGAGGAUGGCCGACAUCGUAUCAUCGUGAGGCUAUUCUUGAACCCCUUCACGAACUAAGCAUGGUGGGAAUGACUUAACUAAGUGCAAUGGAGCCAACAUCAUAUCAUUGUGAGGUGACAUUCUCUAGAGGCCAAAUAAGAUGGGUACUUGCAUUAGUUGCAAAUGAGUAAACGUACUCUCUCAUUAUUAUUAAUGCUAGCCAACAUCAUAUCAUUGUGAGGUGGGCUUGGUAAUAGUGAGCCUCCCAUACCCUACUAGGAGUUUCAUCCAAAACUCUCGAAUUCCAAUGAGGGAUAUGGAAUUUGCCAAAAAUAGUGGGUGGUGCUAUUUGAUUUAAAGACCCGAAUCAAAUGGUUUAAAAUCAAUCAAUUUAUAUUCGUUAUGUAUUUGUUUACCAAUAUAUUUGCAAACGCUAUCCAAAACUUGACAAAGAAAAGCCGAAUGCUUUAGUUUCCGGACUUGGUAACACAAUCCUAAAGAUUGUCUUAAAUGGAUUGUAUAUGUACCUAAGUAGUCUCAUCCUCACAAUCUUCCUAUUGAUAAUGUAUCAUUAGAAGAAUAUGUUAGAAAAUUCUAUCAUAAAGAGGACAACAAUUUUAAAUGUCAUAAUUCUUCAAUUACAAAUUGUUGUAUGAAGAAAUAAUGAGUUGCUUUGAACAACCCUUAGUCAAUGCAAACACUUAGUGCUUGUUUCUUUGUUAUAUGAACAAAGAACUUGAGAAGAAAGCACAAAGGCAUGGACACUUUAUGUGCCAUGAUUCUUCACUUACAAAUUGUUGUAUGAAGAAAUGAGAGUUGCCUUGUACAACUCUUGAAAGUUUGUAAUUAUGUUUAGAACAUAAUGGUUGGUUGACAAAAAUAGUCCAUUAACAUGGACUUAUGAUGAUUUUGAAUCAUUGAGUGUUGAAGUGAUAAACCACUUAACGAGACAGAAGCUAGGCAAGGACUUCACCUUUGUUUCCCUAUCCUUAUAGUUCACUAAGUUUAUUGUAAACUAUGUAGUGAACAAUAACCACAUGCUCUCCAAAAUGUUUGAUGUGUAUAACACAAUUGAAAUAAGUUUCAAGAGAGAUAGUGGGAGUUUAGGGACCAUGACUAUUGUAGUCAAAGGAGAAGUCAAAUGAAGAAGAUUAAAUUAACUCCAAGGGAACAAACUUUCUUUAUGAAAGGAUGGACAUUGGAAGGGGUAUUUGCAAGAAAUGUCUUGCAAGUGUCAAGAACACACCUUUCGAAGGUGUUGUAAAUUGUUCUUGAAUAGUUCAAAACAGUUGGUUCUUCUACUUGAAUGCUUGAUUCCGUAUUAGUUACUAUGUUUUACAAUCGUUGUUAAAGUGUGACUAAUAAGAAGUAGAAGAUAUAUGAGAGAAGAAAAAGGUGCUUCACAUUCGGAACGUGAAUAAAAUAAAGAUCUCUGCGAAAGCAGAUGGUACUUACUUUCUCAUAUGAACUACCAAAGAAAUUGGAAAAACAUAGAUUGUCUUUAUAUUCCAAUUUUAAGGAACUUAAUUCCGUCACUAUAGUAGAGAUGGAUGAAUGUUUUGUUUGACAAAACAGUGUUCCUUAUUAAUCAAUCAAUGAUUGGAUUAUAGUAAUCUAAUUAAUUGUCUCUAUAGUAGAGAUGAUAUGGUAGUGUUAACUGUUUAGAAUAUAAUGAUGCUUAAAACCCAAAAGGUUGCAAGGUAGUGACUAAUCCCAACUAAAGUUGUGAUACCUCUAAAACAUAAAUUACGAGUUGGUCAUAGAUGGACGCUUUGGAUCGUUAGAUCCGGAUCCAAUACCUUCUUGUUAAAAUUGUAUAGAGGCGAAAUGUUUGAAUCUUUAUUCUUUUGGAAAGAAGAAAGAAUCACAAAGUUGUUGAGGUUAAUUCACUUAGAUGUUAGUGGCACUUGUCCACAACAUAAUACUACUCAUGUUGGAUGACAUUCACCGAAGAUCACUCUCGGUUGGACUAUAGUUUAUUUUGAAUAAACACAAGUCCGAAUACUUUGCAAAAUGUUUCAAAGAAUUCAAGAAAUGUAAGUUGAUGAGUAAGACAUCUAAAGUAUUUACCUCCUUAGAUUUGAUCCAAGGAAAGGUAACACUUUAGAUGAGUUUCCUUGAAAGAUAUCAAGGAAAAUAGCAUCAAAAGAUAAUGGAUUUCUCCAUUAGGAGAAGAACGAACUCGAAUAAGAUUUAGUUCGUUAGAUAUUAUCUAUUACCCAUAUAUAUAGGAUAUAUACUUCUAAAACAAUAUGAUUUUAAAUUAGAAGAUCUUCCAAUAUUUUCAUGACUCCAUAAGAUGUAGUUGGAAAGAAAAACAAAUCUUAAAACAUGUUAAGAUUUGGGGUUGUGUGCUAAUAAGCAAUAUUUGUUUGAUAACAAUCUUGUAGGAUAUCCUUAAAUUAACUUUUGGAUAUCGCUUCUAUAAACCAACUAACAAAUGUUGUUUUGUUGGGUAGUUCAUUGUAAUCCUACAAUGUGAUUUGCCUAAGAGCAAAUGAACGAGAGAUAGAACUCAAAAAGGGCAAAGAUUAUUGUUUGAGCCGUCUCAUAUAAAUGUUAUAUGCUUAAACGAUAAAGUCCAAGGAAUAUGUGAUUGGAAGAAUGUAAUCUACUGAAGUUAGAUUCAUGAGACCAUUCUUUCGUAGACACAUCCUAAAUGUUCCUGAUCAUAGGAUUGCCAAUUGGGCAUUGACAGUCCGUCAAGAUCGGUACGUGCUAUGUCUUCUCUCAGGGAGAGUGACUAGUCUCGAGUCAUUGGUGUGUGUGACAUCAAGACAAGUACGUAGGUGCUCAGUAGAGAAUGAGUUCACUGAACGCGAUCAACGAAGAGUUCUCAUACUCAUGUCACAUGAGAACUCAUGGUUGGGAUAAUGCAAAGUAGUCCUUUGACCUGAGGCAUCACAGUUGUCUUAUGGUUAAGUCCUUGAUCUUUGAUUAUGUCAAACGUCAUUCCAUUGGAGUGUCAACGGCAUCGUUGGGGUUAAGCCACUUAGCCAUGGAGGCAAGUGAAUGCGCAACAAGGGAUCUCUAACCUUCAAACCGUUUGAGGGAGAAUACUCUAUGAUAUGAUUUAGAAUCUCUGGCCAGAGUAUGAAUGAGAUUUAGAAAAAUCGUUCUAAAUCACAUUCAAGGAAAUCAUAUAAGCACACGAAUCACAUUGGAUAGUAGACAUGAAUAAAUAAACUAUCAAACCAAACAAUGUGGUCAGGAGUAUUAGAUUAGAGAAAGAUCGUAUUGCAUUUGUAAUCCCAAACUGAAUAGGUUUUCUCUACCUCUUCUGAUUAGCUUGGGUAACCAUGAUAUACUGCAAGGUGUCACUCAUGGUUUGUGGAAGCCCUAAACGUGUGUAAUCACUAAAGGGAGAAUUGAAAUUAAGUUUCAAUUCACAAUCAAUGUAAAAUGGUUUUAAUCGCCCACUGCCUCGCUAAAAGGAACCUAAUGGAUCGCACA
rnacentral:lncRNA from 1 species